rnacentral:rRNA from 1 species
GGUGAGACCCCCGUAUAUGGUGCGGACGCCCAGCGCUUUGUGAUACAUUUUCGAAGAGUCGAGUUGUUUGGGAAUGCAGCUCAAAUUGGGUGGUAAAUUCCAUCUAAAGCUAAAUAUUGGCGAGAGACCGAUAGCGAACAAGUACCGUGAGGGAAAGAUGAAAAGCACUUUGGAAAGAGAGUUAACAGUACGUGAAAUUGUUGGAAGGGAAACGCUUGAAGUCAGACUUGCUUGCCGAGCAAUCGGUUUGCAGGCCA